UACGUAGGGUGCGAGCGUUGUCCGGAAUUAUUGGGCGUAAAGAGCUCGUAGGCGGUCUGUCGCGUCUGCUGUGAAAUCCCGAGGCUCAACCUCGGGCCUGCAGUGGGUACGGGCAGACUAGAGUGAUGUAGGGGAGACUGGGAUUCCUGGUGUAGCGGUGAAAUGCGCAGAUAUCAGGAGGAACACCGGUGGCGAAGGCGGGAUCCUGGGCCAGUACUGACGCUGAGGAGCGAAAGCGUGGGGAGCAAACAGG
rnacentral:rRNA from 1 species